rnacentral:rRNA from 1 species
AUUGAACGCUGGCGGCAGGCCUAACACAUGCAAGUCGAGCGGGGUUUUCGGACCUAGCGGCGGACGGGUGAGUAAUGCGUAGGAAGCUGCCCGAUAGAGGGGGAUACCAGUUGGAAACGACUGUUAAUACCGCAUAAUGUCUACGGACCAAAGUGUGGGACCUUCGGGCCACAUGCUAUCGGAUGCGCCUACGUGGGAUUAGCUAGUUGGUGAGGUAAUGGCUCACCAAGGCGACGAUCUCUAGCUGGUUUGAGAGGAUGAUCAGCCACACUGGAAAUGAGACACGGUCCAGCCUCCGACGGGAGGAAGAAGUGGGGAAUAUUGGACGAUGGGCGCAAGCCUGAUCCAGCCAUGCCGCGUGUGUGAAGAAGGCCUUCGGGUUGUAAAGCACUUUCAGCGAGGAGGAAGGGGUGUGUGUUAAUAGUACACACCUUUGACGUUACUCGCAGAAGAAGCACCGGCUAACUCUGUGCCAGCCGCCGCCGUAAAAC